rnacentral:rRNA from 1 species
AUUGAACGCUGGCGGCAGGCCUAACACAUGCAAGUAGAGCGAGCGGCGGACGGGUGAGUAAUGGCUGGGUAACUGGCUGAUGGAGGGGGGUAACUACUGGAAACGGUAGCCAAAACCGCAUACAACUAGAUGUGGCCAGGUGGGAUUAGCUAGUGGGUGGGGUAACGGCUCACCUAGUAGACGAUCCCUAGCUGGUCUGAGAGGAUGACCAGCCACACUGGAACGGAGACACGGUCCAGACUCCUACGGGAGCCAGCAGUGGGGAAUAGUGCACAAUGGGCGAAAGCCUGAUGCAGCCAUGCCGCGGGUGUGAAGAAGGCCUUCGGGUGGUAAAGCACUUUCAGCGGGGAGGCGUUACCCGCAGAAGAAGCACCGGCUAACUCCGUGCCAGCAGCCGCGGUAAUUC